rnacentral:rRNA from 1 species
CGAGGGCUGUCGCUGACCUGAACUCGGGUCGUGCACGUCCGAGCGUUCUCACACAUCCGUCUCACCCACAUGUGCACCACCGCGUGGGUCUUCCUUUGGCUCGUCCGAAGGGGGGCUUACGUUUUCACACAAACUUUUGUAUGCAGCGUAGAAUGUACCUUUGUUUUGCGAUGACGCAAUUAAUACAACUUUCAACAACGGAUCUCUUGGCUCUCGCAUCGAUGAAGAACGCAGCGAAAUGCGAUACGUAAUGUGAAUUGCAGAAUUCAGUGAAUCAUCGAAUCUUUGAACGCACCUUGCGCCCCUUGGCAUUCCGAGGGGCACACCCGUUUGAGUGUCGUGAAAUUCUCAAAACCCUUUUCUUUUUGGGAAAAGGGUUUUGGACUUGGAGGCCCUUUGCUGGCUUUGCCUUUGAAGCCAGCUCCUCCUAAAUAAAUUAGUGGGGUCCGCUUUGCCGAUCCUUGACGUGAUAAGAUGUUUCUACGUCUUGGGUUCGACACUGUCACCUGCUUCUAAUCGUCUCAUUGACA